rnacentral:misc_RNA from 1 species
GAAAUGCGAUAAGUAGUGUGAAUUGCAGAAUUCAGUGAAUCAUCGAAUCUUUGAACGCACAUUGCGCCCUCCGGUAUUCCGGGGGGCAUGCCUGUCCGAGCGUCGUCAAACCCCCCUCAAGCUUGCUUGGUCAUGGCGGACGAUUGUGCCCUCCGGGCAUGUUCCCCGCUCAAAGGCAUCUGGCGGAGAGCUCCGGUCUCCACGGACGUAGUAAUUUUCAUCUACCGUCCGCCGUACGACCGGUUAUCCAGCCGAGCACAGUUUUGCGACCAUAGGUUGACCUCGGAUCAGGUAGGGAUACCCGCUGAACUUAA